UACGUAGGUGGCGAGCGUUGUCCGGAUUUACUGGGCGUAAAGAGCGCGCAGGCGGUCGUGCAAGUCGCGUGUGAAAGCCCCCGGCUCCAACUGGGGAGGGUCGACGCGAUACUGCUCGACUCGAAGGCAGGAGGAGGGAAGUGGAAUUCCCGGUGUAGUGGUCGAAAUGCGUAGAUAUCGGGAGAACACCAGUGGCGAAGGGCGA
rnacentral:rRNA from 1 species